rnacentral:rRNA from 1 species
GAUGAACGCUAGCUACAGGCUUAACACAUGCAAGUCGAGGGGAAACGGCAUCGAAAGCUUGCUUUUGAUGGGCGUCGACCGGCGCACGGGUGAGUAACGCGUAUCCAACCUGCCCAUCACUUGGGAAUAACCUUGCGAAAGUAAGACUAAUGCCCAAUGACAUCCCACGAAGGCAUCCGAAUGGGAUUAAAGAUUUAUCGGUGAUGGAUGGGGAUGCGUCUGAUUAGCUUGUUGGCGGGGUGACGGCCCACCAAGGCAACGAUCAGUAGGGGUUCUGAGAGGAAGGUCCCCCACAUUGGAACUGAGACACGGUCCAAACUCCUACGGGAGGCAGCAGUGGGGAAUAUGGGUAAAUGGGGGAGGGCCUAAACCAGCCAAUUAGGGUGCAGGAUGGCGGCCCUUUGGGUUGUAAACUGUUUUUAUAAGGGAAUAAAGGGGGUCACGUGGGACUUUUUGCAUGGACCUUAAGAAAAAGGACCGGAUAAUUCCGU